GUGCUCGCUUCGGCAGCACAUGUACUAAAAUUGGAACGAUACAGAGAAGAUGAACUUGGCCCCUACACAAGGAUGACAUGCAAAUUCGUGAAGGGUUCCAUAAAAAC
ensembl:snRNA U6 U6 spliceosomal RNA